CCUACGGGAGGCAGCAGUGGGGAAUAUUGGGCAAUGGGCGCAAGCCUGACCCAGCAACGCCGCGUGAAGGAAGAAGGCUUUCGGGUUGUAAACUUCUUUUCUCAGGGACGAAGCAAGUGACGGUACCUGAGGAAUAAGCCACGGCUAACUACGUGCCAGCAGCCGCGGUAAUACGUAGGUGGCAAGCGUUAUCCGGAUUUACUGGGUGUACAGGGCGUGUAGGCGGGGACGCAAGUCAGAUGUGAAAACCACGGGCUCAACCUGUGGCCUGCAUUUGAAACUGUGUUUCUUGAGUACUGGAGAGGCAGACGGAAUGCGUAGUGUAGCGGUGAAAGGCGUAGAGAGUAGGAGGAACACCAGUGGCGAAGGCGGUCUGCUGGACAGCAACUGACGCUGAGGCGCGAAAGCGUGGGGAGCAAACAGGAUUAGAUACCCUUGUAGUC
rnacentral:rRNA from 1 species